AGUUCCAAUUUUAUAGUUUAAUUUUUAAUUUCUAUUUUAAAUUUAUUAUUUUAUUUUUAAUUGUAUUUUUUAAUUAUUAAUUUUAUUUUAUCAAUGUUUAAUUUUAUUUUCUGCCCGAGUUCCCGCUCGGAUUCUAAAUCCUGAUUCUCUCCGCAGCCAAGUGCGACGCCACCAUCCGGAUCUUCACGGUGGAGCUCGGUGAGUCCCGCCCACGCCCCGCCCCCCCGGUUAAUUAGCGGCUCCUUAAUGAAGCCGUUAAUUAACCCCGAGCCCGGGUCCUUCCCCCUGCCCAGGGGAGCGGCACACCAAGAUCGGGGAACUCACGGCCGACCUGGGUGAGCCGAGCCCCCGACCCUCACUGGGGGGA